CGACCGGCGCACGGUGCGUAACGCGUAUGCAACCUACCCUUUAAAGGGGGAGUAACACUGAGAAAUUGGUACUAAUACCCCAUAAUAUCAUAGAAGGCAUCUUUUAUGGUUGAAAAUUCCGAUGGUUAGAGAUGGGCAUGCGUUGUAUUAGCUAGUUGGUGGGGUAACGGCUCACCAAGGCGACGAUACAUAGGGGGACUGAGAGGUUAACCCCCCACACUGGUACUGAGACACGGACCAG
rnacentral:rRNA from 1 species